CCCAGCAAUGUCGCUCAGUUGGUAGAGCAUGAGACUUUUAAUCACAGGGCUGUGGGUUCAAGACCCAUGUUGGGG